rnacentral:rRNA from 1 species
UACGUAGGCAGCAAGCGUUGUUCGGAGUUACUGGGCGUAAAGCGUGCGUAGGUGGUGAGUUAAGUCUGAUGUGAAAUCCCCGGGCUCAACCUGGGAAUGGCAUUGGAUACUGGCUCGCUGGAGUGCGGUAGAGGGUGGUGGAAUUCCCGGUGUAGCAGUGAAAUGCGUAGAGAUCGGGAGGAACAUCUGUGGCGAAGGCGGCCACCUGGACCAGCACUGACACUGAGGCACGAAAGCGUGGGGAGCAAACAGG